rnacentral:rRNA from 1 species
GAUGAACGCUAGCUACAGGCUUAACACAUGCAAGUCGAGGGGCGUCGGGAAGAAAGCUUGCUUUCUUUGCCGGCGACCGGCGCACGGGUGAGUAACACGUAUCCAACCUGCCCUUUACUCGGGGAUAGCCCUUCGAAAGAAAGAUUAAUACCCGAUGGCAUAAUGAUUCCGCAUGGUUCAUUAUUAAAGGAUUCCGGUAAAGAUGGGAUGCGUUCCAUUAGGUUGUUGGUGGGGUAACGCCCACCAAGCCUUCGAUGGAUAGGGGUUCUGAGAGGAAGGUCCCCCCACAUUGGAACUGAGACACGGUCC